rnacentral:rRNA from 1 species
UACGGAGGGUCCAAGCGUUAUCCGGAAUCAUUGGGUUUAAAGGGUCCGUAGGCGGUCUUAUAAGUCAGUGGUGAAAUCCCAUCGCUCAACGAUGGAACUGCCAUUGAUACUGUAAGACUUGAAUACUUGUGAAGUAACUAGAAUAUGUAGUGUAGCGGUGAAAUGCUUAGAUAUUACAUGGAAUACCAAUUGCGAAGGCAGGUUACUAACAAGUUAUUGACGCUGAUGGACGAAAGCGUGGGGAGCGAACAGG